rnacentral:rRNA from 1 species
GAUGAACGCUGGCGGCGUUCCUAAUACAUGCAAGUCGAGCGAACAGACGAGGAGCUUGCUCCUCUGACGUUAGCGGCGGACGGGUGAGUAACACGUGGAUAACCUACCUAUAAGACUGGGAUAACUUCGGGAAACCGGAGCUAAUACCGGAUAAUAUAUUUAACCGCAUGGUUCAAUAGUGAAAGACGGUUUUGCCGUCACUUAUAGAUGGAUCCGCGCCGCAUUAGCUAGUUGGUAAGGUAACGGCUUACCAAGGCAACGAUGCGUAGCCGACCUGAGAGGGUGAUCGGCCACACUGGAACUGAGACACGGUCCAGACUCCUACGGGAGGCAGCAGUAGGGAAUCUUCCGCAAUGGGCGAAAGCCUGACGGAGCAACGCCGCGUGAGUGAUGAAGGUCUUCGGAUCGUAAAACUCUGUUAUUAGGGAAGAACAAAUGUGUAAGUAACUAUGCACGUCUUGACGGUACCUAAUCAGAAAGCCACGGCUAACUACGUG